rnacentral:rRNA from 1 species
UACGUAGGGCGCAAGCGUUGUCCGGAAUUAUUGGGCGUAAAGAGCUCGUAGGCGGUUUGUCGCGUCGAAUGUGAAAACCCGGGGCUCAACCCCGGGCCUGCAUUCGAUACGGGCAGACUAGAGUUCGGUAGGGGAGUCUGGAAUUCCUGGUGUAGCGGUGAAAUGCGCAGAUAUCAGGAGGAACACCGGUGGCGAAGGCGGGUCUCUGGGCCGUAACUGACGCUGAGGAGCGAAAGCGUGGGGAGCGAACAGG